rnacentral:rRNA from 1 species
GCUUGCUCUGUGGAUCAGUGGCGAACGGGUGAGUAACACGUGAGCAACCUGCCCCUGACUCUGGGAUAAGCGCUGGAAACGGCGUCUAAUACCGGAUAUGAGCUGCGAUCGCAUGGUCAGCAGUUGGAAAGAUUUUUCGGUCUGGGAUGGGCUCACGGCCUAUCAGCUUGUUGGUGAGGUAAUGGCUCACCAAGGCGUCGACGGGUAGCCGGCCUGAGAGGGUGACCGGCCACACUGGGACUGAGACACGGCCCAGACUCCUACGGGAGGCAGCAGUGGGGAAUAUUGCACAAUGGGCGAAAGCCUGAUGCAGCAACGCCGCGUGAGGGAUGACGGCCUUCGGGUUGUAAACCUCUUUUAGCAGGGAAGAAGCGAAAGUGACGGUACCUGCAGAAAAAGCGCCGGCUAACUACGUGCCAGCAGCCGCGGUAAUACGUAGGGCGCAAGCGUUAUCCGGAAUUAUUGGGCGUAAAGAGCUCGUAGGCGGUUUGUCGCGUCUGCUGUGAAAUCCCGAGGCUCAACCUCGGGUCUGCAGUGGGUACGGGCAGACUAGAGUGCGGUAGGGGAGAUUGGAAUUCCUGGUGUAGCGGUGGAAUGCGCAGAUAUCAGGAGGAACACCGAUGGCGAAGGCAGAUCUCUGGGCCGUUACUGACGCUGAGGAGCGAAAGGGUGGGGAGCAA